rnacentral:rRNA from 1 species
AUUGAACGCUGGCGGCAUGCCUUACACAUGCAAGUCGAACGGUAACGCGGGGCAACCUGGCGACGAGUGGCGAACGGGUGAGUAAUGCAUCGGAACGUGCCCAGUAGUGGGGGAUAGCCCGGCGAAAGCCGGAUUAAUACCGCAUACGAUCUACGGGUGAAAGGGGGGGAUCGCAAGACCUCUCGCUAUUGGAGCGGCCGAUGUCAGAUUAGGUAGUUGGUGGGGUAAAGGCCUACCAAGCCGACGAUCUGUAGCUGGUCUGAGAGGACGACCAGCCACACUGGGACUGAGACACGGCCCAGACUCCUACGGGAGGCAGCAGUGGGGAAUUUUGGACAAUGGGCGCAAGCCUGAUCCAGCCAUGCCGCGUGCGGGAAGAAGGCCUUCGGGUUGUAAACCGCUUUUGUCAGGGAAGAAACCUUCUGGGUUAAUACCUCGGGAGGAUGACGGUACCUGAAGAAUAAGCACCGGCUAACUACGUGCCAGCAGCCGCGGUAACAC